rnacentral:rRNA from 1 species
CCUACGGGUGGCAGCAGUGAGGAAUAUUGGUCAAUGGACGCAAGCCUGAACCAGCCAUGCCGCGUGUAUGAAGACGGCUCUAUGGUUUGUAAACCGCUUUUGUACGGGGGUAAACUCUGAUACGCGUAUCUGUCCUAAUGUACCUUACCAAUAAGGAUCGGCUAACUCCGUGCCAGCAACCGCGGUAAUACGGAGGAUGCAAGCGUUAUCCGGAUUUAGUGGGUUUAAAGGGAGCGUAGAUGGGUGGGUAAGUUAGUUGUGAAAGUUUGCGGCUCAACCGUAGAAUUGAAGUUGAUACUGGCAGUCUUGAGUAUGGUAGAGGUAGGCGGAAUGCGUGGUGUAGCGGUGAAAUGCUUAGAUAUCACGAAGAACUCCGAUUGCGAAGGCAGCCUACUAAACUACGACUGACGCUGAUGCACGAAAGUGUGGGUAUCAAACAGGAUUAGAUACCCUUGUAGUC